AAGACUCUGGCUGUGGGCAGCCUCCAUUCCCUGUGGUGUUGGAAUCAACCAAUGAGGAGGGGAGAAAACGCUUAGAAAUAGUUUGAACAAUAAUAGAGUCAGCAGUUAUAGUUGGUUCUAACAUAUUUUUAAAACUGCAUUGUUAUGAUUCUGAUGAUCAUACACAGUGCGGGAACUACUAGCUAUUUCACCUAUAUAUGAGUAAAACAUUUGGGGAAAUUUCCCUCUGGUUCAGCUGGUUAUGCUGUUCACGGAGGUCCUUGACAUUUGCCCAGCGGAGUCAUCACCUGAAACCACGGGCAGCUGAACCCUGGGAACUUGCCUCGGUGUUUAUAAAUACCUCAGUUGCAUCAGGACCCUACAGGUGAAAGAUCUUGAUACCACACAGGUAUAAUUACAAUCUGCAAACCUACUCAAGGGGAGUUGCAGGUGAAGAUAAGGAAGUCAGCCUCAUUCCAUUACCUAAUCAGAUUCUCAGCCAAAGACAAACAGCAACAUAUGGGACUUUAAGGGUCUUGCUCUGUCACCCAGGCUGGAGUUCACUGGCAUGAUCAUGGCUCACUGCAGCCUCCAUCUCCUGGACUCAGAGACGGAGCUUCACCAUGUUGCCCAGGCUGGUCUUGAACAUCUGGACUCAAGUUAUCUGUCACCUUGGCCUCCCAAAGUGCUGGGAUUACAGGCAUGAGCCACAGCACCUUGCUUAUUCUUUUGUUUGCUAUUAAAAUAUAAGCAUUUUCUAGUCAAUAAAAAUUAACCAAGAACAUAAUUUGCAAUGGCUGCAUAAUAUUCUGUUAUAUUGAAGUUAUAAUAGAUGUGAGGAGUUUCCUAUUGCUGAAUAUUUACUUUUUCUAGAGGUUAAGAAGAGCUUUUAGAGUCAGAAAGACUUGACUUGUUGACUCUAAAGUCCUGGCUGGUGGUGGGUGCAGUGACUCACGCCCAUAAUCUCAACACUUUGGGAGGCCGAGGUGGGUGGAUCACUUGAGGUCAGGAGUUUCCGACAAGCCUGGUCAACAGGGUGAAACCCUGUCUCUGCUAAAAAUAUAAAAAUUCUGGGUGUGGUAGUGCAUGCCUGUAGUCCUAGCUACUUGGGAGGCUGAGGUAUGAUAAUUG
rnacentral:lncRNA from 10 species